UGUCUGCUAUGAGUUGACCUGGGAGGGAU
rnacentral:piRNA from 1 species